UUCGUUCUUCGCUGAUUUUGGCAGCGCACGAAGGGGGUUCGGUUUCAACUUCCAACAACAACAACCACACAAGGGAGCUCGUGGAUACUCACGAAGGAAAAUCACUCAAAUUAGAGCGAGAGACAGAUAGAAAAAACGAAAGGUCAAUAUAAAAUCGUCGGCUUUUGACUGUUGGGAUGUCACGCCUCUCACGUAUGGCAACAGCGAACAGCUGCGCGUGUAGAUGUGUGAGUGCGCGGAGAAUAUAGAUGGAUGACGAAUGAAGAAUACAGGUAGUUUUGCUCUCUCGGCCCAUUUAAGGCCCGAAUUGUCACUCACACAAAUGUAAAAUACAUUUUCAGCAGUGUGUGCGUGAACGAAAAAUUACUUUCAAUUCUUUUGUCAUUCAUCAAUCUAUCGCCGGCUUUUUAACAUCGAUUUGUUUAUGGAAAAUUAAUCAAGUGAUAAAAACGUGAUUAUUGAUACGAAAUGGCAACGCAACGCGAUAAAAAAACUGGUGCUGUGUACAGAGCCCGUGAUGCAAUGAAUGUGAGGUUAGAACGUGAGUGGGAAGCUGAGGAAAUUGAAAAUAGAAGCAAUCAACUCUCAACAUGUUUCUUACAGCAAACAUAGAUGCAGAUUUUUCAAACGUGGCUCUGCCGACGUUUGAUUCAUCACUUGAAUAUGAUGAAGUAAAUGAAGCUGUGAGCAGUGAUAUGGAUGCAAUAUCUACUGAAAAUGAAUCAGAUAGAAAUAGUGAAGCAAUGGAUCUUGAUGCUGAUGAUAACCAAACCCCUGAAGAGUCUUUCGUGGAUGGUUUAAGAAGGUGGGCUUUAGAGACCAAUCAGACGCAUCAAGCCAUUAAUUCAUUGCUGUCCUUGGUGCGACAGCGAACACCAUAUAACGUUCCAAAGGAUGCUAGAACCUUUCUUAAAACACCGCGUGGCACAGAAAAAACAAUUAACACCAUUGGUGGUGGGCAGUUAUGGUAUCACGGUAUAGCAAAAAGCCUUCAAAAAUAUUUUAGAAAAGUAACUCCACAAGUAGAUGCCUUUAAACUAGAUUUUUUAUGGACGGACUACCCCUCCAUAAAAGCGGACCAAAACAAUUUUGGCCUAUUCUGAUGAAAAUUUACGGAAUGAUCAGUGUCCCUGUGAUGGUGAUAGCGAUUUUUUGUGGAGAUGCUAAGCCGGAAUCGGCUGAAGAUUACUUGCGACAGUUUGUAACGGAGCUAAAUGAGCUGCAAGACAAAGGAGUUUUCAUCAAUGGAAGGAAAUUUUCUGUAGCACCACGAGCAAUUAUUGCUGAUUCUCCAGCUCGUGCAUUUAUAAAGGAGUCGUUUCCUUCAAUGCAGGGGAAGGCUGUUUGAAAUGUACCAGUGUAGCAAAAAAAGAUCCAAUAACAAAAAGGAUGUAUUUUGAAGGAAGUGGCGCUGCAAAACGAACAGAUGCUCUUUCAAAGAUGAUAAAUACCCCACACAUUGCAAAUUUAAAACUCCUUUAAUUAACUUGAACAAUUUUAACAUAAUCAAAGGUGUUAUUAUCGCAGAACCUUUGCAUCUUUUUGAUUUUGGCAUCAUGCGAAAAUUGUUAUCCAUUUGGCAAUUUAUGACAGUGGGAAAACACAAAAAUGGAAUCCCCAGCAACGACACCAAAUAGGCCAGCUCAUAAAAGACACGAAACUGCCUUCUGAAAUACAUCGAAAGAUGCGUAACUUGAAGUAUUUUGGAUAUUGGAAAGCUUCAGAAUUCAGAAGUUUUUUGUUAUACAUUGGUUCAGGUGUUUUAAAAAACUACUUGAACAAUGAAGAAUAUCAGCAUUUUAUGCUUUUUUUUUUGCGCUGUAACAUUUUUAUCUUCGCCUGUUUACAAAUCAUAUUGGAAUUAUGCAGGAGCAUUGCUUAACAAAUUUGUGUUAGACUUUGGCCCCAUAUAUGACAAAAGUCUUGUGUCAAGCAACGUGCAUAAUUUGGAACACGUUUUAGACGAUGUUAAAAAUUUUGGUGAUGUAACUACUACUUCAGCAUAUUCAUUCGAAAAUAACUUACAAGUACAGAAGAACCUACUUCGCCAUGGAUCACGAAACUUAGAGCAAAUAGUCAACAGGAUAGCAGAAACAGAACAUUUGAAUAUAGCCACUGAAAAUACCAGUGUGAAGAAUUAUCCUAUGAUCACCACAAUAGGAAACAACGAAUGCAUCCAUAUCAGAUCAGACUUUAUGCUAAAACCAGAUGAAAGGAAUCAGUGGUUUAUGCUUAAAGAUAAUACUGUAGUGAAAUAUGAAUCUGAAGCUCUAGGUUCACAAGAAUUUGUUAUCUAUGGAUCCCAAUUUUUAAAACAAAGAGAAAGUUUUGUACAACCGUGUUCGUCAUAUGAUUUACAUAUAACUACUGCAGAUCUAAAUGACUUAUCACGUGAUUGUAUUCAAGUGGACGUUUCGGAAGUAUUGUGCAAACUUAGUGCUAUCAAAGUAGAAGAUAAUGCAUUAAUGUAUACUCCUCUAUUGCACACACUUAUUAAAUAAAUGAAUAUCAUAAAUAGAAACUUAGAAUAAAUUUAAAAUAAA